CAAAGUGUAGCUUAUCCCAAAGCACCUGGCCUACACCCAGAAGAUUCCAUAUAAAAUGGCCGCUUUGA
rnacentral:tRNA from 2 species